UACGGGGGGGGCAAGCGUUGUUCGGAAUUACUGGGCGUAAAGGGCUCGUAGGCGGCCAACUAAGUCAGACGUGAAAUCCCUCGGCUUAACCGGGGAACUGCGUCUGAUACUGGUUGGCUUGAGUGCAGGAGAGGAAUGCGGAAUUCCUGGUGUAGCGGUGAAAUGCGCAGAUAUCAGGAAGAACACCCGUGGCGAAGGCGGUUCUCUGGGACGGUACUGACGCUGAGACGCGAAAGCGUGGGGAGCGAACAGG
rnacentral:rRNA from 1 species